rnacentral:tRNA from 1 species
CACUAAGAAGCUAAAUAGGAAAGCGUUAGCCUUUUAAGCUAAAGACUGGUGACCCCAACCACCCUUAGUGA